AUCAUCUGGUGACCUUGUUGGAAGGCAGAUUCUGAUUCAGUAGGUCUAGGGUGGGGUCUGAGAUUCUGCGUUUUUGACAAGCUCCCGGGUGAUGCUGA
rnacentral:pre_miRNA from 1 species